AACAUUGCAAGUCGAACGAUGAACCCGCUUCGGUGGGGGAUUAGUGGCGAACGGGUGAGUAACACGUGGGCAAUCUGCCCUCCACUCUGGGACAAGCCCUGGAAACGGGGUCUAAUACCGGAUACGACACAGUCAGGCAUCUGAUCUGUGUGGAAAGCUCCGGCGGUGGAGGAUGAGCCCGCGGCCUAUCAGCUAGUUGGUGGGGUGAUGGCCUACCAAGGCGACGACGGGUAGCCGGCCUGAGAGGGCGACCGGCCACACUGGGACUGAGACACGGCCCAGACUCCUACGGGAGGCAGCAGUGGGGAAUAUUGCACAAUGGGCGAAAGCCUGAUGCAGCGACGCCGCGUGAGGGAUGACGGCCUUCGGGUUGUAAACCUCUUUCAGCAGGGAAGAAGCGAAAGUGACGGUACCUGCAGAAGAAGCGCCGGCUAACUACGUGCCAGCAGCCGCGGUAAUACGUAGGGCGCAAGCGUUGUCCGGAAUUAUUGGGCGUAAAGAGCUCGUAGGCGGCUUGUCACGUCGGUUGUGAAAGCCCGGGGCUUAACCCCGGGUCUGCAGUCGAUACGGGCAGGCUAGAGUUCGGUAGGGGAGAUCGGAAUUCCUGGUGUAGCGGUGAAAUGCGCAGAUAUCAGGAGGAACACCGGUGGCGAAGGCGGAUCUCUGGGCCGAUACUGACGCUGAGGAGCGAAAGCGUGGGGAGCGAACAGGAUUAGAUACCCUGGUAGUCCACGCCGUAAACGGUGGGCACUAGGUGUGGGCAACAUUCCACGUUGUCCGUGCCGCAGCUAACGCAUUAAGUGCCCCGCCUGGGGAGUACGGCCGCAAGGCUAAAACUCAAGGAAUUGACGGGGGCCCGCACAAGCAGCGGAGCAUGUGGCUUAUUUCGACGCAACGCGAAGAACCUUACCAAGGCUUGACAUACACCGGAAACGGCCAGAGAUGGUCGCCCCCUUGUGUUCGGUGUACAGGUGGUGCAUGGCCUGUCGUCAGCUCGUGUCGUGAGAUGUUGGGCUAAGUCCCGCAACGAGCGCAACCCUUGUUCUGUGUGCAGCAUGCCCUUCGGGGUGAUGGGACUCACAGGAGACGUCGGGUCAACUCGGAGGAGUGGGGACGACGUCAGUCAUCAUGCCCCUUAUGUCUGGGCUGCCCAC
rnacentral:rRNA from 1 species